AAAUGAUCCAUCAAUAAAGGAUAAUGUUGGAUCAGUGUUUCAAUAUUUUAUAUCUUUUAUUAGAUGUUCAUGUGGUUUGGUUAUUUGCCUUUUGGUUGAAAGUACACUGAGAGAGGACUUUUCGUUAGUGAUCUUAAUAAUUUUUUUUUUCACAUGAAUGUAAUUUUUUCAUCUAAUUGAAUACAAUCUAUUUGUGUAUGAUUGUCAGUCCAAAGAGGGAGAGAGGAAAGAGGGGAACGUGAGGAGAAAGUACAAGGUCAGGAAGAACCAGAUCACCAUUGUGAUGAACCAGAAUGAACCCCUCAGUUUCUUGCACCGUCACAAUGAGGCUUUUUCCACCGAGCCUCUGAAAAACACUGGCAAAGGAGCUCCUCUGGGCUUUUACCACGUCCAGAAUAUUUCUGUCGAAGUUACAGAGUCUUUUAUUGAGAACAUCAAGAGCAAGCCCGUCGUGUUUGAAGUGUUCAGCCACUACCAGCAGCACCCGCUGCACCUCCAUGGCCAGGACGUGAACAGCAUCCAGGAAAUACUAUCCUAUUCCCAUCCGUUGCUUAGAAACUGUCCUGAGGAGACAGCUUCAGGAUCAAUGACAUGUCAUUCACACCAAUGAAGACGUGAGAUCUGAAUGGCAUCAGGCAAAGUUGCUAAGCUUGACAUCACAGACAACAACGACGGCACAGUUGCUGUCGAAUAUGCUCCCACAGAGGCCGGUCUGCAUGAGAUGGAUCCAUGCACAUCCCGGGAAGUCCCUUGCAGUUCUACGUGGAUUACAUGUGCCUAUGGCCCUGGCCUUAUCCACGGGACGGUCAACAAGCCAGCUGUCUUUACUGUUAACACCAAAGAGGCUGGAGAAGGUGGUUUGUCUUUUGUCUCUGGCCAUUAAGGGUCCAUCCAAGGCUGGACUGUGUGGACAACCAUGGCGGAACCUGCACUGUGUCUUACCUUCCAGUGCUGCCAUGAGACUGCAGCAUCCUUGUUAAAUACAAUGACAAACACACCCCAGGCAGCCCCUUGUCUGCUAGGAUUACUGCUAACAUCAGUGUAGACCAUCCAUGCAGCCUCUAAGAUGGCAGCCCAAACACUACAGUAAAGUAAUUCAUUUCCUGCUGGAUCUGGAGAUGUUCCAAGACUACAUACCUGGAAACAUUCUGAUCAGAUGCCCCAAACCACCUGCUUCUCCCCUCUCCUGCA